AUGGCGGCGGCGGAGGAGAACAGCUCGCUCUUCCUGAUAUUCAUCCUGACCAUGAUCGCGCUGCCCCUGGUGCCGUACACGAUCACGCGGCUGUGCCACGCGGCGACGAAGAAGGCCAAGACCAUCCACUGCCGCUGCUCCGGGUGCCACCGCUCCGGAAAGUACCGGAAGUCGAUCUACAAGAAGAUAUCCAACUUCUCGACGUGGAGCAACCUUACCAUUUUGCUUCUCUGGAUCGUUGUGAUCUUCCUGAUUUACUACAUCAAACUCAGCAGCCGCGAGGUCCAAGUUUUUGAGCCAUACAGCAUUCUUGGACUAGAACCAGGGGCAUCAGAAUCUGAAAUCAAGAAGUCAUACAGGAGACUCUCUAUUCAGUACCAUCCUGAUAAAAAUCCCGAUCCUGAGGCCCAUACGUACUUUGUUGAAUCUAUCUCCAAGGCGUAUCAGGCGUUAACUGAUCCUAUAUCUCGUGAAAAUUAUGAGAAGUAUGGUCAUCCAGAUGGGCGCCAGGGGUUCCAAAUGGGCAUCGCUUUGCCCAAGUUCUUGCUGAAUAUGGAUGGUGCAUCUGGCGGGAUAAUGCUUCUAGGAAUUGUGGGGCUUUGCAUACUCUUCCCCUUGAUGAUAGCAGUUAUUUAUUUAUCAAGGUCAUCAAAGUAUACUGGAAAUUAUGUCAUGCAUCAAACUCUGUCCACUUAUUAUUACUUUAUGAAGCCAUCUCUAGCUCCAAGCAAAGUCAUGGAUGUCUUCAUCAAGGCUGCAGAGUAUAUGGAGAUGCCAGUACGACGCAGUGAUGAUGAGCCCCUGCAGAAAUUGUUUGUAGCAGUUAGAAGUGAGUUAAAUCUAGAUUUGAAGAAUAUUAGAACUGAGCAAGCCAAGUUCUGGAAGCAGCAUCCAUCACUUGUAAAGAUGGAACUCUUGAUUCAGGCUCAUCUUACUCGAGAGUCAUUUGCUUUGACACCAGCGCUAGUAAAAGAUUACAGGCACAUGCUUGAACUUGCGCCUCGUCUUUUGGAAGAACUAGUUAAGAUUGCACUUCUACCGAGGAGUCCCAACGGUUUUGGAUGGCUCAGGCCUGCAAUUGGUGUAGUUGAGCUGUCUCAAAGUAUAAUUCAGGCUGUCCCUCUCAGUGCUCGAAAAGCUGGUGGAGGUAAUUCAGAAGGAAUAGCACCUUUCUUGCAGCUGCCACAUUUUACUGAAGCAACUGUCAAAAAAAUUGCCCGCAAGAAAAUCAGGGCAUUCCAAGAACUUUGCGAUAUGUCUGAGGUGGAACGUGCCACACUGCUGACACAGGUAGCUGGACUUUCAGAAGAAGAAGCUCGGGAUGUAGAGCUUGUACUGGAGAUGAUUCCUACUGUUGAGGUGGAUAUUAAAUGUGAAACUGAAGGAGAAGAGGGCAUACAAGAGGGUGAUGUUGUGACAAUGUAUGCUUGGGUCUCACUUCAGCGUCGCAGCGGACUAACUGCUGCCCUUCCCCAUGCUCCUUUCUAUCCGUUCCACAGGGAAGAGAACUUCUGGCUGCUUCUAGCGGACACCGCGUCAAACGAAGUUUGGUUAUCCCAGAAAAUCAGCUUCAUGGAUGAGGCUACCGCCAUAACUGCAGCGUCAAAAGCUAUACAAGAUACCCAGGAAGCAUUGGGAGCAAGCCCAAAGGAAAUAGGAAUUGCAGUUAGGGAGGCGGUUGACAGAGUGAAGAAAGGCAGUAGGUUGGUGAUGGGCAAGUUCCAAGCCCCAUCAGAGGGCAAUCACAACCUGACGUCCUUCUGCUUGUGCGACGCAUGGAUAGGCUGUGACAGCAAGACUAGCUUUAAGCUGAAGGUUCUGAAGCGCAGCCGCGCGGGAACAAGAACCUAUGUGCCUGAAGAAGGGCCAGUGGCAGAGGAUGGCAUUGAGGAGGAAGAGGAGGAGGAAGAAGAGGAGUACGACGAUUACGAGAGCGAGUACAGUGAGGACGAGGAAGAAGAAAAGAAGGGAAAAGGUAAGGUUGCAAACGGAGCAGCACAUCAAAGGGCAAGCUCUGAUAUAGAUUCAGGCAGCGAUGAUUGA
rnacentral:rRNA from 1 species